rnacentral:lncRNA from 1 species
ACGACACCGAGCACGCCAUUAAAUAGCAGUAGGCCUCCCUCUCCGCCCUCUCGGUCUUAGCGCCAUCUUCCUUGGUUAGUCGCGGGGUUUUCUGGCGUUCGGGUUUCCAGUGCAAUCCGUUAACAUCCGACCUCCACAUUCACUAUCAUCACAGCGGGCUAACGGCAUUUUUCCCUCUUUCUCUCUAGAGACUCCUGCGCCAUGAGAGCGAAGUGGCGGAAGAAGAGAAUGCGCAGGUACGUUUAAUUUUUCAAGACUACCUUGGGGCAGUGGGGGCAAGCUCGGUGUGGGAUAUUUGGUUGGAAGAAAAUAUCUGGCGGGAAGGAAGCAGGAGUCGCCGCCCAGUACAGCAGAGCUGGUGCUUGUUAAUCUCAUCGUCUCUUGUACUCGUGCACUAAGUGUACGUAUUGAUAGAUGUGCAAAGGAAAAAAAAAAAACUCAGGUUUGUGUGCCUUCCAUUCCAGGCUGAAGCGCAAGAGAAGAAAGAUGAGGCAGAGGUCCAAGUAAGCCAGCCCGUGCACCUACGACGCCUGCAGGAGCAGAAGUGAGGGAUGCUGAGGGCCGGGACAAGCUAUCGGACUGUGUGCUGCCAUCGGUAAUGAGUCUCAGUAGACCUGGAACGUCACCUCGCCGCGAUCGCCUGGAGAAAUGACCGCCUUUCUUACAACCAAAACAGUCCCUCUGCCCUGGACCCCCGGCACUCUGGACUAGCUCUGUUCUCUUGUGGCCAAGUGUAGCUCGUGUACAAUAAACCCUCUUGCAGUCAGCUGAAGAAUCAAACUGCUGUUACGUGUUUUUUUGCGGUUCCUUGGGGUGGGGACUCGAGUGUGUUUCUG